GACGAACGCUGGCGGCGUGCCUAAUACAUGCAAGUCGAACGCUUCUUUCCUCCCGAGUGCUUGCACUCAAUUGGAAAAAGGAGUGGCGGACGGGUGAGUAACACGUGGGUAACCUACCCAUCAUAGGGGGAUAACACUUUGAAACAGGUGCUAAUACCGCAUAACAGUUUAUGCCGCAUGGCAUAAGAGUGAAGGGCGCUUUCGGGUGUCGCUGAUGGCUGGACCCGCGGUGCAUUAGCUAGUUGGUCAGGUAACGGCUCACCAAGGCCACGAUGCAUAGCCGAACUGAGAGGGUGAUCGGCCACACUGGGACUGAGACACGCACCAGGCGCCUACGGGAGGCAGCAGUAGGGAACCUUCGGCAAUGGACGAAAGUCUGACCGAGCAACGCCGCGUGAGUGAAGAAGGUUUUCGGAUCGUAAAACUCUGUUGUUAGAGAAGAACAAGGACGUUAGUAAAUGAACGUCCCCUGACGGUAUCUAACCAGAAAGCCACGGCUAACUACGUG
rnacentral:rRNA from 1 species